rnacentral:rRNA from 1 species
CAGCGCCACAAGUGGCAUCCACAUUUAUUGGGCCUAAAGCGUCCGUAGCCGGAUUGGAAAAUCUUUUGUGAAAUCAUGGGGCUUAACUCCAUGCCGUGCAGGAGACACUAUCAAUCUAGGGACCGGGAGGAGUCAGAAGUAUUCUGGGGGGAGCGGUAAAAUGUUAUAAUCCCCGGAGGACUACCUGUGGCGAAGGCGUCUGACUAGAACGGAUCCGACGGUGAGGGACGAAAGCUGAGGGAGCAAUCCGGAUUAGAUACCCGAGUAGUCC